CCUGAAACAGAUCAAAAACGGCAACAAAAGGAGGAAAACAGGAGAAAUGAAGGGGGUUACGAAAAUGAAGAGAAAAAAGAAAAAUAGAGAGGGGGUUGACAUUUUUGUAUCAGAAAAUUAUUGAGAGAGUGGAUAAAAAUAAGAAAUUGGAGCAAAAUAUUGUAUGGAAAGAUUAAUGAAAUACAAGUAAAGAAUCAGAGGAAGAAUUUUGGAAAGAGGCGUUGGUUCGUAUUCGAUUGCUAAACAGAAAGUUUAUCAUGGGAAAUGGGUUUCUUGAUAAAGUGGAAGAUAAUACGGUUGCCUAAAUAUAUUCUGAGAAACGCAAGAAGGGUGAUGGAGGAGUGCAUGACUUUACUUUGUGGCCCGAUGAUUCAAGCUGAUUAUUCAAGAGUUUCUGACAUUCCAACUGCCUUAAAGAAGCUGAGGAGCAUUACGGGGAUGGACAGACGUUGGAUUAUAACCAGGAUCAAGCAAAAGGGAGGUAGAGGAGAUACCCCUUUUGAAGGAUUCACAAGAUUUAUCUUAGCAUCCAGAUGAAGGAGAGGAUGUCUUUGCCUAGAGUAUGAAGGCAAAGCCGUAUAUAUAUAUCCGCUUUAUGUAAAGAAAUUUGUCUUCUAGUAAAGUUUUCUAAAUGGAAUUGAAUCAGAAUCAAUGUCUCUUUUUGCAUUCA